rnacentral:rRNA from 1 species
GGCUCAGAACGAACGCUGGCGGCAUGCCUAACACAUGCAAGUCGAACGAGACCUUCGGGUCUAGUGGCGCACGGGUGCGUAACGCGUGGGAACCUGCCCUUAGGUUCGGAAUAACAGUGAGAAAUCGCUGCUAAUACCGGAUAAUGUCUUCGGACCAAAGAUUUAUCGCCUAUGGAUGGGCCCGCGUAGGAUUAGCUAGUUGGUGAGGUAAUGGCUCACCAAGGCGACGAUCCUUAGCUGGUCUUAGAGGAUGAUCAGCCACACUGGG